AUGACUUCUUGUUGCACAGAGGAGAGGUGGAAGAAGGUCACAGAACUGCCUGUAUCUCCAACUCUGGUGCCAAUGGUUUGGUUUAAUUCUGCGUCUGGAGAUAAAGUCACCGUGAGCUGCCUGGCUCUUGACUUCUACCCACAGAGUCUUUCUUUUGAGUGGAGUGAUGCGAGUGGAGCACAGCUGGAUUCUGUACGUUAUCCUGUAGUGGGAGCAAACAACAGAUUUACAGAAGUCAGUGUGGUUCAAGUGUCCAGAUCUGAAGCAGAUUUAAGGUCUUUUCGAUGUUCAGUGAUUCAUCCUGGCGGCACCAAGACUGUGAAUGCAAAAAGGGCCUCCUCAACCCCAAAACUGACUUUGCUCUCAGCGACAACUGGAGAGGGUCAAACACUAGUGUGCACCAUUGAGGAUUUCUCUACUGAAAAUCUGUCAGUCAAAUGGAAAAAGAAUGGCAAUGAGGUGCAUGGACACAACGAAUGGCCUCCCAAACAACUCGGAGACUUGUAUUCAGCUGUCAGCGUCCUAAAGGUGAAGAGCUCGGACUGGAACAGUGAAGCUGUUUACUCAUGUGAAGUGACUCACCUUGGAAAAACAUAUACAAAGAAGGCUUCAAAAGCUCUUUUCACAGUGAAGCUGAACCCUCCAAGUCCUAAACAAAUGUUCAGCAACAAGCAGGUAGAGUUAGAGUGUGUCAUCUCUGGACAGGACAACGCAACUGUAUCUGGGACUGAAAUCACCUGGUAUAUUAAUGAAGAUAAAUGUGUGAGCAGCAACAUUAGGGAAGCAACAAAGGUUGAAGGCCCUCAGUACAGCAAAGAGAGCUUCCUCACUUAUAAUUACUCUGACUGGAGGACAGUGAGCAAAGUGAGAUGUUCUGCUCUCGCAGGAGAUAUGGGACCAUUUAUUCAAGAUCUGACUGUCAACAAAGGAGAUGGGACAGAGCCAAAAGUGACAGUCCAUCGGCUCCAUGAGAAGGAUAUUGCCCAAGAAGCAUCAGCUGAGGUCACUCUGGUGUGUUUGGUUUCCAGUAAUGUGGUUCAGGAUUACUACAUCGCCUGGACUGAAGAUGUUGGACAAAGCAGCUCAGUAUAUUAUGAUGGUAUUACCUUUCCACCAAGAAAGACCAAAAACGGCUACUUGGUUACAAGUGUUUACACCACCACCAAGGAGAAGUGGAAUGGGGGCUAUAUCUUCUAUUGCAACGUGUGGCCCACUGGGCCUGAAAAUCACAUGAAAUCCAGAGGAGUGUCUCAAGCCAUGGAAUUCUCUACUCUGACGUUUGCAUGGAGCUGCACAGACGAUGUUGGUGAUGAAGAUGAAUUCAGCAGCCUGUGGUUCACGGCCUUGUCUCUCCUAUUCCUCUUCAUAUUCAGUCUUUCAUGCAACUUGAUGCUCAGCCUGCAGAAGAGACGAGAGGAAAAUAAUGUGGGACAAACACAGUGAUUGUUUUUUUCUGUUUUACUGAGCAAUCAGCUCUGUUUAUGUUUUUUUAUGCUUGUUUAUGCUUUUGAAAAUAUUUUUUUAAUGAAAUGGCUGUCUGUUAUCAUAAAAUGGAGAGUAGACCUCUGACAAUAAUACUUUUAUGUUUAUAAAGUGACUGUCAAAGUCUUGUUAUCCUAAAGGUGUUGUCAAUGUUGCUUUGUUAAAAGGUUGUUUAAAUACAGCAUAUUGAUCAUUUGUCAUCUUUUACUGAUCUCUGAUGUUAGUAUUGACAUCAUUUUCUAUAUACAAUUGAUCAAAUCUGAACCUUUUUUUUCAGUAUAGAGAUGACAAAGUACAGCAAAAAUCGCUAUUAUUGUAUCUUAUGCAGUUUUUCAUUUCUACAUGUGCUAAAAUCAUUAAACAUGUAAAAUACAAAUGAGAUUGAGGUUUUUGUUAUCAGAUCAGAGAAGACAUCAGUUUGUUCAGAAACCAACUCUUGAAGCCACCAUGGCGUGACCUGCUGUUAUCGGUUGAGUUUCGCAGGUUUCCAGUUUCUUUUCAGAAAGCCACUUCCUCUUUCUCUGUAUUCCUCUGAGUAAACACCUGCAACUGUGAAACUUUACACAAACCUCCAGAAAUAUAAAUAA